rnacentral:rRNA from 1 species
CCUACGGGAGGCAGCAGUGAGGAAUAUUGGUCAAUGGGCGCGAGCCUGAACCAGCCAAGUCGCGUGAGGGAAGACGGUCCUAUGGAUUGUAAACCUCUUUUGUCGGGGAGCAAAAGACGCCACGCGUGGCGUUUCGAGAGUACCCGAAGAAAAAGCAUCGGCUAACUCCGUGCCAGCAGCCGCGGUAAUACGGGGGAUUCGAGCGUUUUCCGGAUUUAUUGGGUUUAAAGGGUGCGCAGGCGGAAGAUCAAGUCAGCGGUAAAAUUGAGAGGCUCAACCUCUUCGAGCCGUUGAAACUGGUUUUCUUGAGUGAGCGAGAAGUAUGCGGAAUGCGUGGUGUAGCGGUGAAAUGCAUAGAUAUCACGCAGAACUCCGAUUGCGAAGGCAGCAUACCGGCGCUCAACUGACGCUCAUGCACGAAAGUGUGGGUAUCGAACAGGAUUAGAUACCCCUGUAGUC